rnacentral:rRNA from 1 species
GAUGAACGCUAGCGGCAGGCUUAAUACAUGCAAGUCGUACGGGAUCCGAGGUAGCAAUACUUUGGUGAGAGUGGCGCACGGGUGCGUAACACGUAUGCAACCUACCUAUAACCGGGACACAACCUCGAGAAAUUGAGGCUAAUAUCCCAUAACACUGCGAGAUGGCAUCAUUUUGCAGUUAAAACUCCGGUGGUUAUAGAUGGGCAUGCGCGACAUUAGCUAGUUGGUGAGGUAACGGCCCACCAAGGCUCCGAUCGGUAGGGGGUCUGAGAGGAUGAUCCCCCACACUGGUACUGAGACACGGACCAGACUCCUACGGGAGGCAGCAGUAAGGAAUAUUGGACAAUGGACGGAAGUCUGAUCCAGCCAUGCCGCGUGAAGGAAGAAUGCGCUCAGCGUUGUAAACUUCUUUUGGAUGGGAAUAAUAACCUCGACGCGUUCGGGGCUUGAAGGUACCAUCAGAAUAAGC